ensembl:scaRNA
AGUGGAGGACUAAUCAGACCAAGUCUGAAGAGUGAGACUGGGAUGACAGUAGCCUCCUAGAAGAAAAGGGAUAGGGAGAGCAGUCCUGCUUACAGAAAAGCAAAGGGCUGACUGUGCCAUUCAACACUU